rnacentral:rRNA from 1 species
GAGAGGACCGGGAUGGACACACCGCUGGUGUACCAGUUGUUCCGCCAGGAGCAUAGCUGGGUAGCUACGUGUGGACGGGAUAAGCGCUGAAAGCAUCUAAGCGUGAAGCCCCCCUCAAGAUGAGAUUUCCCAUUACGUUAAGUAAGUAAGACCCCUUAGAGAUGAUGAGGUUGAUAGGUCUCGGGUGGAAGCGUGGCGACACGUGGAGCUGAGAGAUACUAAUCGGUCGAGGGCUUAUCCAAAA